UACACUUUGUACUUUAAUAUGCAAACUGCCUGCCUGCUCCAGAGAAGCAGCCUUUGUUCCUCAGUUCAUCGCAACACUCAGCCUGUCAGUCAGGUUGUGGGAUCCCUCCUAUCCAGGAACUGUAUGCUGUUGUCCCGGUUCUGACACUUUCCCUCUGAGUCCUUGGACACCUUACCUAACCUCUUGGAAGCUCCUGUCUGUGAAGGGUGUGCACAGAGAGCUUCGGUAGCCUGCGAAGCAGCCAUUUUCACUUCCACGGAGCAGAUGCUGGCCUGGGUGCUGGAAUAUGGAAAUGAGGAAGAUCCUGCCUGAGGAUUUCAUGACAGUGCUGCGAUUACCGACGUGAGCCACUGUGCCCAGCCUCACUUUAAAAAAAAAAAAAGGUUAUGAAGCAUCUCAACACAAGACCUCCUUUGCUCAUCACAACCACCCAGUGAAGCAGGCAAGACAACAGAAACUCCCCACCUGUGAUAGAUGUGAGGCCUGAAGUCUCCCACAUACCCACGGCAGAUGCAACGCACAGCGGUGACCAAUGGACAUGGUCCAAGCAGACCCUUUCCUGAGACUUUCUAAAUGGAGCUGUGUGAGAAGAGUUCCUUUCUGUUUUGCCUCUGGAGCUGAAGGUUGAGAACUCAGAGCUGCCCGUGUUCUACCCUGUGAAAAUAAAGGCAAUCAAUUCACAGAGACAAGCAGAAACAAGGCGUCCAGAGCAAGUCCUUCACAUCACCCUGGACACCCUGGCCCUGAUUUCCACUCCCUGCCAGGCUUGUUUGUCCAAUUCUUCUUUUUGUUCCAAGCACCAUCCCAGCAGGCUUAGUUACCUGUAAGCAUUUGGUUAAUCUCUCUUCUCAGCUAGACCGUAGGCUCCCCGAGUGCAGAAACUAUGUUUAUUUUGGUCUCUGCUGGAUCUCCAGCACCUAAAUAAAUGUUUAUGGUUGACUGCAAGGCAGAUCUGUGUGGGGAAUGAAGAAGAGUAUUAAGACCUCCCAGAUGGGCUGCUGGAGGCCUGUCCAAGGUGGAACUUUGCAUGGUGAGAAAUGCAAUUCAGUAGGAAAACAAAGAACUCCUUCAUCCUCCUCUAGAUUCUGCAGGCAAGUGAUCAGCUCAAGGUGAAGGAUCUAAAACCUGAAAAGAGGCCAAAUGAUUCCUCAAAACCACGCAAGUACGAAGUAGCAGAGCGGAUCUCAAAUCCAGGUUGGUUUCCUUUUUACAACUGCCCAAGUCAUGAGUUCAUAGGGCCUGGAUGGCUGUACCGGAUUGCUCUCCAGCUGGUCUCUCUGCAUCCAGAAAUUUCUACAACCUACUGGGGUAAAAUCUUUCUCAACCCUGCUUUUCAUCAUCACAUCUUAAAUAUCUCGAGUUGGUUCCCUAUUGCCAAAAAAAAUCCAUUGUCCAUGUAGGGUUCUUCUGCCGAAACGAGGAAAGAGUGAGUUAAAUGUUGGUAGGUGAUAUAGAGAUAGUAAUUAGGCAAUAUAAUUCGAUGUUGUUGAAAGAGCUGAGCUAUGAAAUGCAUUGUGAUAAAGGGGCUGCCUGUGUAAGUAAAUGGGUAUAAUGAGGUGUAAAACUCCCUUUCUCUCUCUCUUUCUGCUUCAUAAGCCUUUCUGCUUCUCAAGUCCAGACCUGCUGUUUUUGGGGUUUCCUUCCAAUUUUUUUGCUGCUUCCCUGGGGCCUUGGCUCUUGGGCCUGCUGCCUCUUCCCACUCUACACCUUUGGAUUCCUUAUCUUUGGCUCCACCUUAUUGCUCCAUUCUCCAAAGACAAAUCCACAAGGCAUAGGAUUUUACAGAAUAUGGGGUUACAGAAACAGCAUAGGGAAGUGUAAAAGCCUAGAAGCUUCUUACAGACGCAGCCCCUUGUCUGUAGCUCCUGACUCCCACUUAAAUGUCUGUUGGAAGCACCCUGGGGUAGCAGAACCCAGCUCAGAAGAUGGGGCUUAUCCACCAUGCCUUUUCCUAACCUGACACCCACCCAGAUAAUCUUUUCAAUAUGCAAACUAGAGCGUAUCACCCCCUGCUCAGAGCCUUUCUGUGACCUCCCAUUUUGCUUCCCAGGACUCCUUGCUCCUUAGCCAGGUCUCCAGGUCCUCCGUGAUCAGGUCUCUGCUCUUCUGCAGCCUCAUCUCUGCCAUUCUUCACCUUUUGUGCUCCAACCCAAUCUGGUUUUCUUCUCAUGCUUUGAACACCCCAAGUCUGUCUGCUUCAGGAGCUUCGUACUGGCUAAUCAUUCACCACAGCAUACUCCCAUCUAUACGGCUGGCUCUUAUAUUAUGGGUCUCAGCUAAAAUGUCAUCCCUUCAAAGAGACCUUCUUGGACCACCCCCGCCAUUCUCUAUCCUAUUUCUCUCUUUUAUUUUCUUUGAAGCACUUACCCACUUUCAGAAACUAUCUGGCUUGCUCAUGUGUUUGUCUCUAGAUUGUCUACUUCCCCUCCUAGACUGUACUCUCCACAAGAGAGCAAAGCUGUGUCUGUUGCAUUCACUGUUGUCUUCCCAGAAGCAAGCAGCAUGCUGGAGACCCUCAAAUACAUGUGAAAUGAAGGGACACCUUGUGUUAUUUCACCUGUUUCCACCUGGUUCCCAAGUGGCAAGCUUGCAUUGAGGUUACAAAGUGGCAAAGCUGGGAUAUCACAUGAUGUCACCAUGAUGCUAUAUGAAAUGUAACAUUAAUUGAGUACCUAUGUGACCAGUUCUUUAAUUCUGUAAGUGAACUCUCAAAAAACCCUAGGUAAGUAUUAUCAACUCGAACUUUAACGGAUGAGGAAACUGGAAUUUUUUAAAAAAUGACUUAACCAAACAUCACAGAGCUGUAAACCAGGAUUUGAAUGGGUGAGCUGCACUCAGCCUUCAUCUCAAGUCAGUUUGCCUCUUUCUCCAAGAAGCCACAGUUGAUCCUGACCACAUCACAUAUGAGUUGCCUGGAUUGCAGUCAUUCAUUCACUAAGCAUCUUUUAGGAGGUCACAUGCCAGGCACCGUGUUAGGUAAUGAUUUCUCCAAGUCACAGGAGCCGUGGUUCUGACUUUAGAAAGUUUCUCAUCUGAUGGGAGGGCAGGCAAGUAAAUCAGUAAGGGUGGUCCCUGUCGGGACACUGGUUGAGAAAUACCCAGGAACACUCUGAUUGAGAAAUACCCAAAGUGCAAAGUGACAGGGACUAGAGGCAUCUCCACUGGACCAGAGAGCUCUGGAUUCGUCUUGAGCUAAGUCUCUGGAGGUAGGUGUCAGCUACAAGGAGAAAAGCUGUAUAUUUUGAGAUAUGGGAUGCAGGGCCUUUUAGUUCCAUAAAUAAGAGAACUAUGGUGUGAAUACCACAUGCCCUGGGCUGAACUAAGUGGGCUCUAGGGGAAGGUAUACUGGGCAGGGAGUUUGGAGAACUGGUUUCUGUCUAAUCCUUCUCUAACUCUGUGACCUUGAAUGCAUCAUUUCCCCUCUGAGUCUCAGAUUCUCUUUCUGGCUGGCAUUUAAUGAAACCUAAAUAUUCUAGACCUUCUACUUGUUCCAUAAGUGCUCAGUCCUACACUCACUCUCCUCUGGCACCAAUAUACUGAUUACUCAUUUUAUGCCCAGCAGAGCACUGCGUGUUUUGAAAUAUACAAAUAGUGGGAAACGAAAUCUUUGUUCUGGAUGCAGUUAUAAUUUGGAAAGCGAGGAAAUAAAUUAUAACAAGGGGAAAAAACAGAAUACUACUAAAGUCAUGCCGUGUGACUUCUGAAGCUAGCUCCUAAGAAGUCCUUGCAGCUUCUGCCUGCGACUCUUAGAACACUUGCUUUGAAGGAUGCCAGAUGCUGUCUUAAAAGUCUGAGCACUCUGAAACCAUCAUGCUGUGAGGAAGCCCAAGCUAACCACAUGGGCAAAAAAGAUGCCCUCUGACUGCCACCAUUUGAGACACUCUAAUUAAGAACUGCCUCAUUGAGCCCAUGAGGCCCUGUGAAUGAUAAUAAUAAAUUGUUUUUAACCACUAUGUUUUUGGAUUUGUUAUAAGUUUAUAGAUAACAAGAAAAAGUUAUAUUAGCAUGGUAAUAAAAUUAUGGAUAUGUGUAAGUUUGGUGUUUUGUUUCUUUUUUUUUUUUACACUAAGCCUAUAUUACUGUUGUAAUUUAGGAAAUCACUUGUUUUCCUCCAGCACUUCAAUGUAAGAGUGGCACUACUUAGAAUGUACUUCUUAAGAUAUGGCU
rnacentral:lncRNA from 10 species